rnacentral:rRNA from 1 species
GACGAACGCUGGCGGCGCGCCUAACACAUGCAAGUCGAACGGAGCUGAGAGAAGCUUGCUUUUCUUAGCUUAGUGGCGAACGGGUGAGUAACGCGUGAGUAGCCUGCCCUGGAGUGGGGGACAACAGUUGGAAACGACUGCUAAUACCGCAUAAGCCCACGAUCCGGCAUCGGAUUGAGGGAAAAGGAUUUAUUCGCUUCAGGAUGGACUCGCGUCCAAUUAGCUAGUUGGUGAGGUAACGGCCCACCAAGGCGACGAUUGGUAGCCGGACUGAGAGGUUGCACGGCCACAUUGGGACUGAGACACGGCCCAGACUCCUACGGGAAGCAGCAGUGGGGGAUAUUGCACAAUGGGGGAAACCCUGAUGCAGCGCCGCCGCGUGGAGGAAGAAGGUUUUCGGAUUGUAAACUCCUGUCGUUAGGGACGAUAAUGACGGUACCUAACAAGAAAGCACCGGCUAACUACGUG